AAGGUGUUAAUAUUUUUAAGGGGGCAGGGACUCCUUUUUGUGGAUCCAGGUUGUCGCUGAGGUGUGUCUCGGUGUGUGUGGCCGUUGGGGCGUCCAGAACGCCGCGUGCUGUACAGCGUGUGGGGCGCCGUAUUCUGGGAGCCUGUGUGUGCGUGCGCUGUGUAUGCGCAGCUGUGCAGAAUGAAUCACAGACAUCAGAGAUGGAGAGCACCUGUUACUGUGGGUCAUCGGCUUGGCGUGUGUACGGUCUAGUUUCCAUUUACAGGACAGUUCUGUGCCCUUCCUCAGGAGGUCCCAUUCCUUUCUUCUUUUGGUCAAUUCUGAGUGUCAGCUGUCUACUGGGAAUUUGCUAAGGCUAAGAGGCAAAGAUAGGCAAGUCACUCCCCUGACCUCAAGAAACUCCCAGUCUACAGGCAAAGAUACACCACCAACCGGGAGAGUCUCUGGACCAGAAUAUUAGGUCUUCCAGUCAAAGUCACCCAGAUUUGCCAAAAGAGCUGGCACAAAUGUCACUUCCACUAUGAAGUCCCACUAACUUCCAUAUACAAGUCACAAGUGAUGAUGCCCCAUCUGGAUUGGUAAAGAACUCACAGCAAGAAAAAUUAUUGAUGUGGAAAAACUCAGGACAGCAUUCCUUGGUGACCACUUACCACUUUUGCAUUUGCCCAGCAGCCCAUUGAAGCGCUUGCACCUGUGUGCCUGGGGAAGCUGGGGAGAAUAUAUCUUCUUUUACCCCUCCAAGUAUUGGAUUAUAUGGCCAUUCUGUACCUGCCCACAACUGAGAGCUGAAUGCAUAAAUAAAUGAAGACUGAAAUGGUUUGUUUGAGUGAUUUGUCCAUGAAUCAGACAAAUAUUUUCAGUUUAGGUCAGCAAGGUGGCUCAGCACCUGUGGUCAGUCAUUCAGAGACCCCACCCCCGCAACUCCCUAUGACCACCACUUUCAAUCCAUGACCUUAGGUUUUCUGGCAUCUAGCUGGUGAAUACAGAGAGAGAAGAUGAAGAUGGAACCAGUGUUUUUCGCUAUGUUGGUCUGGAGGUAACACUUAUCACUUCCAUUCACAGUCCCUUGAUAAGAACUGGCUACGUAGCUCCAUCCAGGUGCAACAGUGGUGGAAAAUAUAGCUUAGCUGUAUACCCAAGUAGCUAAUAAGUUUGGUGAGAAGCUAGCUCAUCUGCUUCAGUCAGUCUCCUCAUUUAAAAAUGGGAGUAAUACUUUCUAACUCGGCUGCGGCCAUGGCUCCUGUGAAAAAGCUUGUGGCGAAGGGGGCAAAAAAAAAGAAGCAGGUUCUGAAGUUCACUCUUGAUUGCACCCACCCUGUAGAAGAUGGAAUCAUGGAUGUUGCCAAUUUUGAGCAGUUUUUGCAAGAAAGGAUCAAAGUAAAUGGAAAAGCUGGGAACCUUGGUGGAGGGGUGGUGACCAUCGAAAGGAGCAAGAACAAGAUCACCGUGACAUCUGAGGUGCUUUCUCCAAAAGGCAUUUGAAAUAUCUCACCAAAAAACAUUUGAAGAAGAAUAAUCUACAUGACUGGUUGCGCGUGGUUGCUAACAGCAAAGAGAGUUAUGAAUUACGUUACUUCCAGAUUAACCAGGACGAAGAAGAGGAGGAAGAUGAGGAUUAAAUUUCAUUUAUCCAGAA